rnacentral:rRNA from 1 species
GAGCACGUAGGUGGGUUUGUAAGUCAGACGUGAAAGCCUUCUGUUCAACGGAAGAAUUGCAUCUGAAACUACAAACCUUGGGUGUAGGAGGGGAGAAUGGAACUUCUGGUGGAGCGGUGAAAUGCGUAGAUAUCAGAAGGAACGCCGGCGGCGAAAGCGAUACUCUGGCCUAUUACUGACACUCAGUGUGCGAAAGCUAGGGGAGCAAACGGGAUUAGAUACCCCGGUAGUCCUAGCCGUAAACGAUGGGCACUAAGUAGAGGGAAUUACCGAUGUUCUCUCUGCCGUAGCUAACGCAUUAAGUGCCCCGCCUGGGGAGUACGGCCGCAAGGCUAAAACUCAAAAGAAUUGACGGGGGCUCGCACAAGCGGUGGAGCAUGUGGCUUAAUUCGAUGCAACGCGAAAAACCUUACCGGGGCUUGACAUGGUAGAAGUAGGAACCCGAAAGGGUAACGAACGGUAUCCAGUCCGUGACUAUCACAGGUGUUGCAUGGCUGUCGUCAGCUCGUGUCGUGAGACGUUGGGUUAAGUCCCCUAACGAGCGAAACCCUUGUUUUUAGUUGCCAGCGGGUUAUGCCGGGCACUCUAGAAAGACUGCCGUCGUCAAGACGGAGGAAGGUGGGGAUGACGUCAAGUCAUCAUGGCCCUUAUGCCCCGGACUGCACACGUGCUACAAUGGCCGGUACAAACGGAAGCGAAGCCGAGAGGUGAAGCGAAUC